CAAGUUUCUGCCCUAUCAGCUUUCGAUGGUAGUGUAUUGGACUACCAUGGCAGUCACGGGUAACGGAGAAUUAGGGUUCGAUUCCGGAGAGGGAGCCUGAGAAACGGCUACCACAUCUACGGAAGGCAGCAGGCGCGUAAAUUACCCAAUCCUGAUUCAGGGAGGUAGUGACAAGAAAUAACAACUCGGGGCCUCACGGCUUACGAGAUUGCAAUGAGAACAAUUUAAAUCUCUUAGCGAGGAACAAUUGGAGGCAAGUCUGGUGCCAGCAGCCGCGGUAAUUCCAGCUCCAAUAGCGUAUAUUAAAGUUGUUGCAGUUAAAAAGCUCGUAGUUGAAUUUCUGAUUAUGGAUGUAGCGGUUCCGUUACAUUUGUAGUCAUCCACAUGAGAACCUUUCUCGG
rnacentral:rRNA from 1 species